CUGUGUGGAUCAGACGACUAACUCAAUGAUAAUUGCUCCGUCUCUAAGCAGUUUGAAUCUAUAAAUAGAAUAACAAAAGGAAGGAAACGAAAUUUUAAACUGAUUUCCGCCAUUAAAAAAAUAACAUGAAACCUACAGUUCACGACACAUCGCAUAGGAAUUUAAAAUAAAUAUUAGGCCUAUAGGUUUAAUACAUAUUGCUUAGAAUAUAGAAAUUUAGAUCUAGUGUUCUGGUUAGUAGUUAUUUCAUGUUUAUUAGAAUAUAGUCUAGAAUCUAAUCAUACGGCUGCAUAAAAAGAAAGUUUGAAGGAAAUAGAAUAGGAAUCUAGAGAAGCGGAGUGUUUUCCGCACUCGAGAGGAAAGAGGUUGCAGGGAACUUAGAGACUAAUCUUUGCCAACAUACUGGAUUUCUGGUGAUGACAAUAGCAGCAGAUAGUAUGCGGCUCAGUUAAUACUAAAAACAAUUGAUUUUAGUAAUUAGUGGACUAUGAGUGUGUGUUUGGCCAUCCAGAUUUCAUAACUACAAAAGAUGUUCAAUUACAAGGGAUAUUGAUCAGUCUCCGUGGACUAUACACUGUGCCUAGUUUCAUCCUCAGAGACUGAUGUGUAAGCUUAAAGUAAAGACAUCAAAUCAAAGUAUCAGCCAUCAAGAGGAAAAACAUUCAAAAUCAUAUUGUGAUACACAAGUCAAGCAAGUCUGACCAGCAUUUUGAUACAGGCCAAGAAAAAGCUGGAUACUUGAUUGGAAGGGUCGCACAAAAAACAUGGGUUAUCACUAGGGAAACAAGCUCGCAAUACAGUUCACUGUUAGGACAGCAAGCCAAAUACUUCUAAACUUAUUUGAAUCAUUUUUGCUGUUUAUUAUAAUUCAUCCAAUUGUCUUAUUAAAUAUAUAAAUUUAUAUAUAUACACAAUUCCUAAUAUAGAAUUUCUAAAAAUGUUUUAUUAUAAUAUUUAAAAUGAAACAAACAUGUUCCCAGAACACAGCCACAUAAUGUCAACAUGUUCCCAGAACACAGUCACAUAAUGUCAACAUGUUCCCAGAACACACAAAAUGGCAACAUGUUCCCAGAACACACAAAAUGGCAACAUGUGCCGAGAACACAAAAAAUGACAACAUGUGCCGAGAACAAUGCCCCUUACAGAUGACAUGUUCCCAGAACACAGCCCGUAGUUGGUCUGCCAUAAAAAGUUAACAAUACUUUACUUUUUCCUUAACAAUUUUACAAGCAGGUAAUAAAGCCAUACAUCUUUACUGUGGAUAUAGCCAAUAAAUAGGCUAACCUUCACUAUAUGCAAUUUGUAGUUUUCAAUGCCUGUCCCAUGCAUAUUAUUUAGCCUAUUGUUUUGGGUCUUGCUUCAUUUACUCAAUUAAUUAUAUAGGCAUGAGAAUUUUCAUUUUAAUCUGCAAAAGUUACAUUCUGUACAUUAUUAUUUUCAAACUACAUCAUAUAUUUUUCUCUUCUCUGAUAAAAAAUAUUCCUCAUAUUGUUUGUGUCAAGUAUUUUAUUUUUAUCUAUGCAAUGCUAUAUUCUUAUUUUAUAAUAAUUACUUUUAUACAAAUUCUUUUGAAAACUGUUCUUUAUUGAUUUGUAUCAUUUUCUUUAUUUCUGAAAAAUAAAACUUUGUUUGGGAAUCC